rnacentral:lncRNA from 1 species
UGGACUCUGCUGCUCCUACUCACGUUGUCAUGUAGAUUAUUGUUGCAUAUAGUCAAAAUCUUCCCGAUCUUAUCCUCCACACACAAGAUUGUCCAAGAUAUUACAAUAUCAUCUAAUUGUUAUCAUAACUUUUGAAUUUCAAAAUCGGUUCACUUUUUCCUCUUUUAUCUCUCCAAAUAAACUUUUUUUAUCCUUCUCUUUCAUCUCUCCAAAUAAACUAUUGGUAUGUGAUCUAAACUUAUACUUAUUGAGCGUUGUAACUUAGGUAGCUUAAUCUGUUACUUAGGUUAGUUAGGAGUCGGUUAGACCGGUUAGAGCUUGUUCAGCUGGUUUAACACUUACUCUCCGGUUAAGCUUGUAACCCUUGGUUCAUAUAAAAGGGGAUUAUAUAGAGAGAGGAAGUUAGACUCGAGAACUGUAACAGAAUGAGAGAGAGAGAGAGAGAGAGAGAGAGAGAGAGAGAGAGAGAGAGAGAGAGAGAGAGAGAGAGAGAGAGAGAGAGAGAUACGACGGAGACUCCUUGUCCAUCACCAUCUCCGAUUUGCAAGAGGUGUCCUUUGGUUCUAGUGGAUUUGCUAGACUGAGUCUGGCUUCAGGGAUUAGUUCUCCACAUCGGAGAGAUACCAUGGGUUAUCAAUCUUGUGUCUCUCUACUGCUUUCUUGUUUCCAUUAGAUCGUAGCAAUCCUGAGAGACUGUGAGGUUAGAGAGUGUGAUACGAUUCUUUGGUUGCAAAAGGAUUGAUUCACCUCGAAUCAAUUCAGUGAGUUCUCAACAAGUGGUAUCAGAGCCUCGGCUGUCAAGAUCCGAGGGUUUCGAUGACGAUGAAGAUGAUACGAGCUGAGGUAGAGCUGUUCGACGGCACCGGUGAUUUCUCACUUUGGACGAUUCGGAUGAUGGCUCACUUCGGUGUAUCGGGAUUAAAGGAAGUUGUUCUCUCCGAUAACUUCGACAUCGACAUUCCGGUAACCAAAGAAGAAGGGAAGAAAGUCGAUGACGAUGGAAGAGGUCAUCUCGGCCGCAAGAUCCAAACAAAGGGAGAUACAAGACACAGUGAAGAGUGAAAAGGGGAAUGCUCCUGUCCUCUACUCUUCAGAUCGUGGGAGACAAGGGAGACGUGAAAAUGGUGAUUCAAAACACCAGAUAAGCAGAAGCAAAUACAAGACCAGGAAAGUCACAUGCUGGUACUGCAAGAAAGAAAGCCACGUCAAGAGAGAUUGCUUUGCUUGAAAGAGGCAGAUGGAACAGGACAGCGAUGGAGAAUCAGCUGUUACCAUCAGUCAACUCGACACUUCAUAUGCGUUAUCAGUAACUGGAGAUGAAGCAAGUGAAAAUUGGGUCAUUGAUUCUGGUUGCACACACCAUAUGACAUCAAGGUGUGACUGGUUCACAGAGUUUCGAGAGUUGCAGUCAACUAAGAUUCUCUUAGGAGAUUUUCACACGGUGGAGACUCUGGGCAUUGGUACUGUAAGAAUAAACACCCAUGGAGGAUCAAUGAAGGUGAUGCACAACGUGAGAUACGUUCCGUCCCUUAGAAGAAACCUCAUCUCCACUGGAACUCUCGACAAGUUAGGAUUCAAACACAGUGGAGGAAUGGGAAAGAUAGUCUUCACCAAGAACUCAAAGUACGCACUAUAAGGGGUAUUGAAGAACAGGCUCUACAUUUUGGAUGGAGAAACCAUUCGACCAGAGGCUUGCCGUUCAGAGAGCCAGGUGAAGGCUCCAUUGUGGCAUUGUCGGUUAGGGCACAUGAGCUACAAAAACCUUCAAGUGCUAGUCAGAAAUGGCACUCUUACGAAGAAGGACAUUGGAGCUGAGUUCUUAUGCGAACACUGCAUCAUGGGAAAGGCAAAGCGGGUAAGUUUUGGAACUGGUAAGCAUGAGACUUCAAGCAUCUUAGAGUACUUACAUGCCGACCUAUGGGGUUCUCCGAAUGUCCAACCUUCAGUAUCUGGUAAUAAGUAUUUUCUCUCUGUCAUUGAUGAUCACUCUAGAAAGGUUUGGGUUUGCUUUCUUAAGACGAAAGAUGAAACAUUUGCUAGUUUUAGAGAAUGGAAAAUGACAGUAGAGAAUCAGGUUGAUAAGAAGGUCAAAUAUCAUAGAACUGAUAACGGUCUAGAGUUUUGCAAUCUUGCGUUUGAUGAGUUUUGCAGGAAGAACGGUAUCACCAGACACAGGACAUGUGCAUACACUCCCCAACAGAACGGCGUAGCAGAGAGGAUGAAUCGCACAAUCAUGGAGAAGGUGUGGUGUCUUCUGAGUGAGUCCAGUUUAGGAGAAGAGUUAUGGUCUGAAGCUGAUGCUUUCUCAGUCUACACGAUAAACAGAUCCCCAUCAUCAGCGGUUGGCUUCAAAGUCCCUGAAGAAAUCUGGUUAGGCAAGAAGCCUGGGUAUAAACACAUGAAGAAGUUUGGCUCUGUGGCAUAUGUGCAUAAGGACCAAGGGAAGCUGAAGCCCAGAGCAGAGAAGGGAGCUCUAAUUGGUUACCCUCCUGGUACCAAAGGCUACAAGAUUUGGCUACUGGAUGGAGAGAAAUCUACAAUUAAUAGAAACAUGAAGUUCUGCGAGGAUGUAAUGUUUAAAGACAUUAAGAAGGAAGCUGAGCUGAGUCAUUCAGACAAGUCACUCCGAGAGGAAGCUGAUAAAUAAAAGCAUGUGGUGAUUCCUGUAAUGGAAAAGGUUGAGAAGAGAUCAAUCAGUGCAGUUCAAGGAGGAGCUGUUCAAGACGUGCUUGAUGAGAGCAGCUCAAGUGACUCUGAUCCUGAGACAUCAGGAAAAGAAGAAGCUAGAUCGAGCCUUGCCAAUUAUCAACUGGCUAAGGACAAGCCUCACAGAACGAUCAUACCUCCAGCGAGGUUUGAUGACUACGACUGUUCAGAAGUUGCAUUUGCCCUUUCAAUGUUUGAAAUCAUGAACGUGGAAGAGCCAAAGGAUUAUGCUGAAGCUCGAGCAAGUAAAGAUUGGUUAAAAUGGAGUAAAGCAUCAGACGAGGAAAUGGAUUCUCUGAAGAAGAAUGGCACCUGGAUAUUAGUCAAGAGGCCAAAAGAAAGGAAGGUCAUUAGCUGCAAAUGGCUGUACAAAAUAAAGCCAGGAGUUCCAGGACAAGCUCCAGAGAGGCAUAAGUCGAGGCUGGCAGCUCGUGGCUUCUCGCAAAAGGAAGGCAUAGAUUAUCACGAGGUGUUUGCACCGGUUGUGAAACAUGUUUAUAUUCGAACAUUGUUGUCACUAGUUGUAAACAUGGACCUGGAAUUGGAGAAAAUGGACGUCAAAACUGCUUUCCUACAUGGAAACUUAGAAGAAGACUUGUGCAUGGAGCAAAUAGAGGGUUACGAGGACAAGUCAAAGCCUGAUCACGUGUGUCUCUUAAAGAAAUCAUUGUACGGACUCAAGCAAUCACCGCGACAAUGGAACAAGCGCUUCGACGAAUUCAUGACACUCCAAGGCUACACCAGGAGUGAGAGAGAUGCUUGUGUCUACACUAAGAAGAUCUCAACAGGAGAUCUUGUAUAUCUCCUACUAUAUGUAGACGAUAUGCUUUUGGCGGCUAAAGACCUCAAAGACGUUAAAAGGUUUAAGGAACAGCUGGAGUCAAGUUUUAAAAUGAAAUAUUUGGGACCAGCAAGACGGAUCUUAGGCAUGGACAUCUUCAGAGAUAGGGAAAAGGGUCUGCUGAGGUUAUCACAGACAUACUACAUCAAGAAGGUCGUCACAAAUUUUAGAAUGGAGGGAGCUAAGCCCACAGCUACUCCCAUAGGUGCUCACUUCAAGCUAUCAGCGAUGAAGGAGCCUGAAGAAGCCAUUGAUACAGAUAUUGUCCCUUAUGCAUCCGCAGUAGGAAGUAUCAUGUAUGCAAUGGUGGGGUCGAGACCUGACUUAGCCUAUGCUAUUGGGUUGGUAAGUAGAUUUAUGAGCCGGCCUGGUGAGUUUCAUUGGGAAGCAGUGAAGUGGCUGUUACGGUAUAUGAAGGGCUCAACAGAGGUUCAGUUAGUCUACUCACAGGAGAAAGUGUUUAAGAUUCAGGGCUAUUGCGACUCAGAUUACCCAGGAGAUAGGGAUGGGAGCAGAUCAUUAUUUGGUUACGUGUUCACUAUUGGAGGAAACGUUGUGAGCUGGAGAUCGAGCUUACAACCCAUGGUAGCGUUAUCUACAACAGAAGCGGAGUAUAUCUCACUCACAGAGGCAGUCAAGGUGCCUAUCUGGCUUCGAGGACUACUAGAGGAUUUUGGGAUUAUUCAUGGAACGGUACAAGUUUGGUGCGACUCUCAGAGUGCUAUCUGUCUGUCCAAGAACGCGGUUUUCCACGAACGUACAAAGCACAUGGCUGCUAAGUACAACUUCAUUCGUGACAUCAUUGAUAAGAAGGAAGUUGAAGUGGUGAAGAUACAUACGAGUAGGAACCCAGCUGAUAUUUUGACGAAAGUGGUUCCAGUGAGUAAGUUUAAUGCUGCGUUAAGCUUACUCAAGAUCGCUCGAGCCUAAAGAGCUUGAGCCAUGCCAGAUGGUGUAAGUCUAGAAGGUGAAUCCACGGGAAGAGAACAAAGUCGACGUUUGUUCAAGGAGGAGUGUGUCAAGUCUGAAGUUUAGCUCAAGGAGGAGUAUGUUGGUAUGUGAUCUAAACUCAUACUUAUUGAGCGUUGUAACUUAGGUAGCUUAAUCUGUUACUUAGGUUAGUUAGGAGUCGGUUAGACCGGUUAG